rnacentral:rRNA from 1 species
AGUGUAGGCGGCUUCGUAAGUCGGAUGUGAAAGCCCCGAGCUUAACCUGGGAAUUGCAUUCGAUACUGCGCGGCUAGAGUUUGAUAGAGGAAAGUGGAAUUCCAGGUGUAGCGGUGAAAUGCGUAGAUAUCUGGAGGAACAUCAGUGGCGAAGGCGGCUUUCUGGAUCAAAACUGACGCUGAGGCUCGAAAGCGUGGGGAGCAAACA